GAAAUGCGAUAUGUAGUGUGAAUUGCAGAUUACCGUGAAUCAUCGAAUCCUCGAACGCACAUUGCACUCUCGGGUAUUCCCGGGAGUAUGCCUAUUUCAGCAUCAGUGUUUCAUCUCAAGCCAGCUUGGCUUGGUAUUGAGUCUUCUAAUCACAAAUUUUCGAAUUCGUGAGAGGCUUCAAAUCGAGAGCAAAAGUCGGCCUUAUGACACAUGCAAUCGUAGCUGGAUAGUAAUCAUUCUAAGGAAGGUUUCUUCCUUGGGGUAAUAACAUUUUUGAAGGCUCAAGUAUUGCUUAAGGCUUUUAACGGCUUGCAUCUAUCUGAUCUUUGUUGCAGACAAGGGCUUUAAUCAGCCUACCGUCUGCUCCAAAAAAAUACUUGGUCUGAAAUUAGGCAAGAUGACCCCCUGAACUUAA
rnacentral:misc_RNA from 1 species